rnacentral:rRNA from 1 species
AUGUUCGGUGACCGAAAUACGUCAUAUUUCCAAAAGUUUGCGUCUGCUCGGAAACUAAGGAACCGGAUAGGCAAUCUGAAGGAUGAUCAAGGCGUUUGGCGGGAGGGUACUGCAUACUUAAACCCGCUAAUUUCCCAAUAUUUUGCGGGCCUGUUCUCCACCGAGAUUGAUGAACCGGAUCCUAGUUUGCUUGAAAAGGUGAAUCGGAGGGUAACGCCGCAGGUGAAUGAAGCUCUACUAAAACCAUAUACUCCCGAAGAGGUAAAAAAAGCUCCUUUUCCCAUUGGCGAUUUGAAAGCUCCCGGUACGGACGAAUUGCAUGCUAUCUUUUUUUUUAAAUGUUGGCACAUCCUUGGUGAUGCUUUAACUACUGAAGUUCUUGAUGCUAUUAAUAACAAGGCUAUUCCUGAAGGAUGGAAUGACACGGUCAUUGUUCUUAUACCAAAAGUGGAUAACCCGUACAGGAUCACCCAACAUAGACCCAUAAGUCUUUGCAAUAUUCUUUAUAAGGUGAUCUCUAAAAUGAUAGAAUUCCGGCUUAAGCUCUGUCUUGAUGAUAUUAUUGCCCCAGUGCAAAGUGCUUUCGUUCCAGACCGACUCAUUACGAAUAACAUUUUGCUAGCUUAUGAAUGCAUUCAUACUAUAAAAAAUAAAAAUAAAAAUAAAGGAAAGGAGGGGUAUUGUGCUGUAAAGCUUGAUAUGCACAAAGCCUAUGAUCGUGUGGAGUGGAUAUUCUCGGAGAGGAUGAUGAAAAGACUAGGAUUUGAAAAAGAGUUUGUGAAGCUUUUAAUGGCUUGUGUUUCCUCGGUUAAAUACAAAGUGAGGUAUAAUGAUCAAGAAACAGAGGAAUUUACCCCUACAAGGGGGCUCUGACAAGGGGACCCCUUAUCACCUUAUUUAUUUCUUAUGUGUGCAGAGGGUUUAUCUAGUGCUUUGGCUCAUAAAGAGGAAGUUCGUGGCAUUGAAGGUGUUCCGGUGUGCAGAAAUGCACCAUCAGUCUCUCAUUUACUAUUUGCUGAUGAUUCCCUAAUCCUUAUGAAAGCGGAUAUGUAUAAUGCAACCUCAUUGAGACAGGUAUUGGAUGAAUAUUGUGCAAGUUCUGGACAAUUGGUGAGUGAAGGGAAGUGUAGUAUCUUCUUUAGCCCAAAUGUGAAUGUGGUUAUCAAAGCUCAGGUCUGUGCAGAACUGAACAUAAUGACGGAAGCAAUCUCUGACACAUAUCUUGGUCUUCCUUCUAUGGUGAGUUUGGACCGGAGUGAUAGUUUCUCUCACCUCGUUGAAAGAGUUGUGAAUCGACUUAAAGGUUGGGAGGAAAAGUUGUUGUCCUUAGGAGGAAAGGAAAUUCUUUUGAAAGCAAUUAUCCAAUUUAUCCCAGUUUAUGCCAUGGUUGUUUUUAAAAUUCCAAAGAAAAUAUGUAAAGAAAUCACGGAUGCAAUGGCGGCCUUUUGGUGGGGGGAUACAGAGGAAGAGAAGAAAAUGCAC